UCCUUAGUUUCUAGGGCUUGGAAUCCA
rnacentral:piRNA from 1 species